rnacentral:rRNA from 1 species
GAUGAACGCUGGCGGCGUGCCUAAUACAUGCAAGUAGAACGCUGAAGGAGGAGCUUGCUCUUCUGGAUGAGUUGCGAACGGGUGAGUAACGCGUAGGUAACCUGCCUGGUAGCGGGGGAUAACUAUUGGAAACGAUAGCUAAUACCGCAUGACAACAGUUAUUGCAUGAUAACUGUUUAAAAGGGGCAACUGCUCCACUACCAGAUGGACCUGCGUUGUAUUAGCUAGUUGGUGAGGUAACGGCUCACCAAGGCGACGAUACAUAGCCGACCUGAGAGGGUGAUCGGCCACACUGGGACUGCGACACGGCCCAGACGCCUACGGGAGGCAGCAGGAGGGAAUCUUCGGCAAUGGACGGAAGUCUGACCGAGCAACGCCGCGUGAGUGAAGAAGGUUUUCGGAUCGUAAAGCUCUGUUGUAAGAGAAGAACGAGUGUGAGAGUGGAAAGUUCACACUGUGACGGUACCUUACCAGAAAGGGACGGCUAACUACGUG